rnacentral:rRNA from 1 species
UAUGGAGGAUGCGAGCGUUAUCCGGAAUUAUUGGGCGUAAAGAGCGCGCAGGUGGUUAAUUAAGUCUGAUGUGAAAGCCCACGGCUUAACCGUGGAGGGUCAUUGGAAACUGGUUGACUUGAGUGCAGAAGAGGACAGUGGAACUCCAUGUGUAGCGGUGGAAUGCGUAGAUAUAUGGAAGAACACCAGUGGCGAAGGCGGCUGUCUGGUCUGCAACUGACGCUGAGGCUCGAAAGCAUGGGUAGCGAACAGG